GGACAUGAUGAUUGUUUGUUUUCUAAGCUCGUUCGCCCUCUCUCUUCUCUCCGUCCAACGACGGCGCGAUUCAGAUCCAGGCAUACAGGCCAUCCUUCCGCCGCCGCGGACUGCACCUAAUCUUCCUUCUCCAGCAGCCGGGCGUUCCCGUCGUCCUCGAUCGUCCCCUGGACUGGAUCGCAACGGAGAUCCAGCUGGACCUGCGGUGGUCCCUUCCUUUUCUCGAUAGCAUAAUGAGCUCGCCAGUGGAGAGGUGAUUCGUCAGGCUGGUAUCAAGUUCCUAGUCCAUGGUGCCUGGAUGAGCAGUAGAGAUGCUACUGGCCGUGGAAGGAGGAGGGUUCUUCUCGUCUUCAGCUACAGGUUACAGCCAUGGCCUCGCCCUCUUGCUGCUCGGACGCAAAGCUGAGGAGAAGCCCGUAAAGGUCUCGCCGUGGAACCAGUACCGGCUAGUCGACCGGGAGACCGAGCAGGUGUACCACCUGCCCUCCGCCAAGGACCAGGCUCCUGGGAAAUGUGCUCCCUUUGUCUGCUUCGGAUGCACGGCUAAUGGCCUCGAGGUGGCGUCUCCUCCAAAAGCGACCUCCAGCAAUGCGCUUGGUACCGGUACCUCACAGGAAGAAGCAUCUUGUUCAGCAAACAAGACGUUGACCACUAGUGGUUCCAUCAGUGGCAGUGAGAGACGAGGCUGUCUUAAGAGCAACUCCAAAAGGGAUUCUUUGGAGCACCGUAUAGUGGUGAGCGAGGGUGAAGAACCGCGUGAGUCUUUGGAAGAGGUGCAAACCCUGAGAUCUAGCAUGGAACGGAGGAAAGUUCAGUGGACAGAUACAUGUGGAAAGGAUCUUUUUGAGAUAAGGGAGUUUGAAACAAGGUAACCAUCUUGUGAGGUAACUUAUCUUCAAGUUUUCAAGUAACAAAGAUACCACAAAGUUCGAGCCAUCUUAAUGAGUAGUCUCCAACCAAAAGCGACGAGAGUCUGUCAGAUGAUGACCCAGAAAAUGAAGGUUUCCGGAAAUGUGAGUGUGUGAUUCAGUAGAUUUCUUGUGUGCACAACAAGCCUGACAGGAACAUCUCCUCAUGGGAAGCCCAUGUCCUGCUGAGAAGGACAUGCCAUAUGUUCUUCUGGGAAGGAUAUGCCACACCCAGUGAUUUCAUUGCAACUGGAACGAUCGAUGACAGUCGAAACAAAGCAAACGGUGAUGAAUCGAUAUUGUGCUAGAUUAUUUGUUGGUUCUACGCUUAACUAGUCUGCUCGGCAGGGUUAUAGUUUCGAUGCCCACCUGUACAAUACCAAGAUCCCAUUCCUUUCUUUUUGUUGUCAUGUUUUGUUUCUCUGACUUUCCAUCACCUUUUUCACGCCCGCUGUACCAUAUGAGGCUGCCCUGUUACUUCUGCCAUGGAUGGUGGAUCCCUGACUUCAUGCUGUUCCCUUUUGUUUUGCCCCUAACGUGUUGAGUGAUGUCUUGUUGACAUUUUCGUCCAAAUUGGUAAAAUUCAUUCUUCGUUGCGUAA